AAAAUUCUGUUUUAUGAAUGACAUGAAAUCCUUUGUGAAAUAUAAAAUAUAACAUUUUAUAAUGAGUUUCGCAAUUAGUUUGAAAACUAACUCUGCAAGUUAAACGGUUGAUUAAUACGGAUUUCAGUGUUUAGAGCAUACUGAACAUGUAACUAUAACAUACGAAAUAAUAAGUUUGGAGUACAAGUUUCCUUGUACUUUUGCUUGUAUUCCCCCCCUGAAAACAUGAAAAACACGGAAAAUGGUGUAGGGGUAUGAACUCACCAGACUAGAAAUGUGCCGGUUAGGAUGCUAAGUGUCAGUUUAAGGCUUGAACACGCGCGAGGUUCUUAUGUAACAUAAGGAGAUACAUAAUUGUAUAUAAUUAGACUUUGAACUACUAAUUAAGUAUGAAAAUACACUCCGAGGUGCGAAAACACUAUAUCUUAAGUGUUGGAAGUGAUAUGGGUUACAUCUAAGGAUGUGUAGGGCCUAAAUAAGGAGUUUACUCUUCAAGUGUGAACCCUUAGGGGUGUUUACGGCCAAAAGACCAUAUCCCCAUGAGUUUACGGUCGUAAAAUCAUGGGUGGUGUGUUCUUGGAUGUUUAAAGGUCUUACAAUGCACAAGGGAAGGUUCUAAGGUUGCAUCAAGGGCUUAGGAAGUGAUCGGGACUUGAAUUGACCUUGGAAAAGGGGUUUACGGUUCUUGAAGGACCCUUGGGUAGUUUACGGUUGUAAACACAUGAGUUUACAGCCGUAAACUCAUGUUUGUCCAUGAUUCAUGUAUUUUGGUGGUUGUAGGUUAAGCAUACAAAGUUCUAGACCCAAAUAUAAGCCAUUCAAGGUGUUAAGGGCACUUAAACACCCUUUGGAGGUGUUUACGGUUUUGGGAGACCUUCCCAAACCGUAAACUCAAGUGUUGCUCAUUUGUGUAUGGUUUGGUGCAUCACAUGAAGGAAUAUAAGGUUCUAGGCACUCAUGGAAGCUUUUGGAGGUGUUUAAGGGGCAAUUUAACACUUUAAAAGGUGUUUAUGGUCUAUGAAGGUGUGUUUACGGUCCAAGAAUGUUCUUGGGCCGUAAAAUCAUGUUUGCUACCCAAAUAAUAUGAUUUUGGUGCUCUAAGCUCGUAUAUGCAAGUCCUUAAGUCAUAGCUAAGCACUAGAAAGGAUUUGGGGGCUUCAAAACCCCUUUAAGGGAGUUUACGGUUUUGGGAGGUGUUCCCAAACCGUAAACACAAGUUCUUGAGUGUUUUGGAUGAUUUAAACUUAUAUUUGCAUGCUUAACAAGUUAAACAAAAAGUUAGGAUAGAUUACUUACGAUUUUGGAGCUUGAAGGGGAGUUUUUGGAUCAAAACUCGAGUUUUAGAGAGAGAGUAGAGAGAGAAAGUUAUGAGGAGGUAAGAAAAAGCUCAAAUGAAGUCACUCAUCCUUUAUAUAAGGCUUGAGUUUGUGGCCAAGUAGGAAUCCACCCAAUACCGACGUUAAACGGGGGUUUACAAUUUUACCCGAUUAAAUUGUCGUAACCCGACUUAGUUGUAACUAAAACUUUUCCAAAUGAAUAUUGAGGGUGUUUUAAGGUGUUUCUAAUGUGUUCCGACACUUAUGAAGUCAAAAUAAAAAUCCCAAUUUAAUUAACUUAAUCCAAAAGUUAACGGAAAAUUUUAAUAAAAAUAAAAUUUAUUAACGGAAAUGGGAUACAGUGACAUAAUAAAUUUAGAAUUGUCACAUUAUCCCCCCAUUAGAGGGAAUUUCGUCCCGAAAUUCAAAAUUAAGAUACAACUUAUGGAAUUGGAAAGAGAUGUGGAUAUUUCUGUUUCAUCGAGUCUUCGCGCUCCCAAGUGAAUUCGGGUCCCCGCUUGGCAUUCCAGCGAACCUUCACUAUCGGGAUGCGACUCUGUUUCGUACGUUUAAUCUCUCUAUCCAUGAUUUCAAUUGGUUCUUCUAUGAAGCUCAGGUUUUCGUUGAUCUCGAUCUCAUCAAGAGGGGUCACGAGGGUUUCAUCGGAUAGACACUUCUUAAGGUUAGAAACGUGGAACACAGGAUGGAUGUUGCUAAGCUCUUGAGGUAGUCGGAGUUUGUAGGCUACAGGACCGAUCCUAGCGAGGAUCUCGAAAGGUCCUAUGUACCUCGGGUUAAGUUUUCCGCGCUUUCCAAAGCGUAUCAUGCCUUUCCAGGGAGAGACCUUUAACAGGACACGAUGUCCAACCUGGAAUUCCAAGGGUUCUCGUCGUUUAUCGGCGUAACUCUUCUGUGUGUCUCGUGAAGCUUUCAGUCGUUCUCGGAUCUGGAUGAUCUUCUUGGUGGUUUUGCGGAUGAUUUCAGAACCAGUGAGAGCACUGUCGGGGACUCGACUCUUAGCUAGUUGCGUGUCCACUACCUCGGCCCAGCACAUAGGGGAUAUGCACUUGCGACCGUAGAGGGCUUCGAAUGGGGCAACAUUAAUUCUGGUGUGGUAGCUGUUGUUAUACGAGAACUCGAUCAAGAGUAGAUGAGUGUCCCACGACUUUCCGAAAUCGAUGACACAUGAUCUCAACAUGUCUUCUAAGGUUUGGAUAGUUCUCUCACUCUGUCCGUCCGUAUGAGGAUGAUAAGUUGUACUCAUAUCCAGCUUAGUUCCAAGAGCUUUCUGAAGGGACUGCCAAAACCUUAAGGUAAACCUGCUAUCUCGAUCGGAGAUAAUGGACACAGGCGCACCGUGCAGUCGGACUAUCUCUUGGAUGUAGAUUCGCGUGAGUCUUUCCAUCUUGAACGAUUCCUUAAUCGGGAGAAAGUGAGCGGAUUUUUUCAAUCGGUCGACAACUACCCAAAUGGUAUCGUACCCACUCGGAGAUUUGGGUAACUUUGUGAUGAAAUCCAUAGUGAUCAUCUCUCAUUUCCACUCAGGUAUCUCGGGCUGCUGGAGCAGACCCGAGGGUUUCUGGUACUCGACCUUUACCUUGGCGCAAGUCAGACACUUGCCCACGAAGGUAGCGAUUUCAGCUUUCAUGUUUGGCCACCAGUAUAGCUUCUUGAGAUCCAAGCACAUCUUGUCCGAACCUGGGUGAACGGAGUAUCUGGUCUUGUGAGCUUCGUUCAUGACAACUUCCCUGAAACCUCCGAACUUUGGGGUCCAGAUUCGGUCCAUGAAACAAUAGACUCCGUCACCUCUUAUCUCAAGUUUCUUAUCCAUCCCUCUCAAGGCUUCAUUCAAUACGUUCUCUAGUUUUAUGGCUUCUAAUUGGGUUCUCGGAUUUGUACGGAUAAGUGGGAAUGGAUGUUCAUUGUCAGUGUCUUUACCUUGCGGCUUGAACUCUCCUUUCGGCUAAGGGCAUCUGCUACCAUAUUGGCCUUGCUGGGAUGGUAGCGGAUUUCACACUCAUAAUCACUAAGCACCUCCACCCAUCGCCGUUGUCUCAUGUUUAAGUCUUUCUGAUCGAAGAUAUGUUCCAGGUUCUUAUGGUCAGUGAAGAUCGUGCACUUGGUUCCAUAGAGAUAAUGUCUCCAAAUCUUCAGUGCGAAGACCACUGCUCCUAACUCCAGGUCGUGAGUUGUGUAGUUAACUUCGUGUGCCUUUAGCUGCCUUGAGGCAUAAGCAAUAACUUUUCACCUCUACAUAAGCACACAACCUAAGCCCUGAUUUGACGCAUCGCAAUAGAUAACGAAAUCCUUUGUCCCUUCGGGCAGGGACAGGAUAGGUGCGCUGCACAAGGAUCGUUUCAACGUUUGGAAAGCAGUGUCUUGCUUCUCACUCCAACAAAAGGGUACUCCUUUCUGCGUCAGAGUGGUUAGGGGCUUGGCGAUUCUAGAAAAAUUCAGGAUGAAUUUGCGAUAGUAGCCGGCGAGACCGAAGAAUUGACGGAUUUAUGUGGGUGUCUUCGGUGCCGACCAAUUCUCUAUCGCCUUGAUUUUAGAUGGGUCCACAUGUAUACCCUCCUCACUUACCACGUAACCAAGGAAACCUACCUUCCGAAUCCAGAAUUCGCACUUGGAGAAUUUCGCAUACAACUUUUUCUGAUCUAAGAGUUUCCAACACUAUCCUCAAGUGUUGUUUGUGAUCUUCUUCGCUUCUGGAAUAGACAAGUAUGUCGUUAAUGAACACGAUGACGAACUUGUCUAGAAAGGGGCGACACACCCGGUUCAUCAGGUCCAUGAACACUGUCGGUGCGUUGGUUAGACCGAAGGGCAUCACUACGAACUCGUAGUGACCAUAUCGAGUCCUGAAUGCUGUUUUGGAAACAUCAUUCUCGUGAACUCGUAGCUGAUGGUACCCUGAUCUAAGGUCUAUCUUUGAGAAGUAACUGGCUCCCUGAAGUUGAUCGAAGAGGUCAUCUAUUUGAGGAAGAGAAUAACAGUUUUUUACAGUCAAUUUGUUCAACUCGCGGUAGUCUAUACACAUCCGAAAGGAUCCAUCUUUCUUCUUCACAAACAAUAUCGGGGCUCCUCAUGGUGAGGAACUCGGUCUGAUGAACCCUUUACUAAGUAGCUCAUUGAGCUAACUGGAUAACUCCUGCAUUUCUGCUGGAGCUAAGCGAAAGGGAGAUUUGGCCACGAGAUUUGCUCCGGGAAUUAGGUCAAUGCGAAGCUCGACUUGACGUUCUGGUGGAAUUCCAGGGAGCUCUUCGGGAAAGACAUUAGGAAAGUUACAGACUUCGGGGAUGCUCUCGAGGUCUUUAACUUCCUGUUUCUCGUUGAUUACAUGGGCUAGGCAUGCAUGGCACUCCUUUCGCAGAAGCUUUUGGGCUUUGAUGCAUGAAAUGAUGCGAAGGUUAGAAUUGAGUUUAUCGUCGUAGAUCAUAACAGUCUGGCCAGAGGGGAGAUUGAGACGGAUGGCCUUUUCAUAACAAAGGAUAUCAGCAUGAUUGGGACUCAACCAAUCCAUGCCGAUGAUAACAUCAAAGCUCUUUAUGGAAACUGGCAUAAGGUCGUUGGGAAAAGAAUGAUCGUUAACGGUAAGGGUACAGCCUAUGAAUAUAUCGUUAGCGUUCUCUUUCUCACCGUUAGCCAUCUCGACGGUAAACGUUUCGGUUAAUAAUUGAGGACUAUGUUUAAGAAGAUGUUUGAAUGAAUGGCUAACAAAUAUUCUUUUAGCACCAGAAUCGAAAAGGAUUACAAGCAUAAGAGUUGUCAAGAAGGAACAUACCUGCGGCAACGGUGGGGUCGGCGACUGCCUCCUCCUGCUUUAUAGUUAGAACUGUCCCGGUGUUGUUGAUUGUUGUUGCUUUUGGGCAGUUUCGCUUGAAAUUCCCGACUUCACCGCACCUGUAGCAGGCCUGAUCGACACCUGCUCCGGAAGCUGGAUUGAUUGGUUGGGCUGGUGUUUUGCAGUUUCGAGCAGUGUGGCCCUUUUUGCCACAACUGUUGCAGAUCAACUCACGGCAUGGGCCAGGGAUACGAUGGUGGUAACUACACUUGUCGCACCGAGGGAGGUUACCAGCAUACCUAUUGGUAGGUACUUGAGCUGUAGGAGUAGUGACAGGAGUAGUAGCAGCUUGGACUGCCACAGUUUUGUGCUUCUUGGAGGGCCCUUGCGAACUCUGACCCUUUCGCUUUUUCCAAAAUAUCUUCUUACUUUGACUACACUCACCUUCAUGAUCUUGGGGAUGUGUGUUACUUCUUGGUCCGCCAGACCCGCACGGGUUCAAGUGUGACAUUGCAGUCGUCACUGCGGCAGUAACAGCUGCCUGAAAUAUGACAAGGUCGAAUUGAGAAGGAUGUGGUGGCGGAGGAUUGUUGUUCUUUGAGCUAGGUCUUUUCCUUGGAGGCAUCUUGAUCUAAAAUGAUCAGGAAAGAGAGGAUGGUAAGUCCUCUGGAUAGAAUCAAGAGAUAUGAAGCAAGAGAUAUCUUAUUAUGGCAGAUAGAGUGUUCUACUAUGCGAUAAUAUAUAGAAAAGCUACCAAAGCAAGGGAAUUUAUCGCUAAGGGGAAUGAGUAGAAACACUUGAACGAGGAUUUCUAUAACGAAGUUGGCUCUAGAAAAUACUCCCAUAGUAUUUUAUGUUUCGCUGCGACGAUGACUCAUUGUUUGAAUAUUUGGUAAGUUUUUAGGCCUGCUGCACACCACAGUCACUCCCAAGCACAUGUUGGCUGUGUCUCGAAUGAAUAUAGUUGAUCAGGCUAUAUUGAUCCUAGACACGACUACAUAACUGCCCAGGUUUAACCGAAGUGUACAACACCCAAUUACUUAUGUUUUGUUCUACUCGAGGUAACGGUUUCUGGCGUUUAGAUAUUCUUGUAUACUUGGAGUAAAAAUACUUAUAUUUUUAAAGUAUACUUUUUAGUUCAGAGCACUUCGGCCCCUUAGUGUUUAUAGUUAUAUACCAUGUAAGGUUCGAUAUACUUAGUUCACUAUAAACAAGGGCUCUGAUACCAAUCUGUCACACCCCGAAACCGAUGGCGGAAACGUUCCGCGGCGGAGGACGUCAUGUAAAGUAUCACAACCAAUGUACAUAGUAAGCAUAGUAAACACAAAACAUUACAUUACAUAGGAAUAUUUACAUUUGUUUGAAAGCAAAGUAUUACAUGUUUUAUAGAUACAUUAGUACGAACAAAAGUAAAGACGAGACUUCUAAACGCUCCGUCUUCUCCAAAAGAAUGCGGGAUACCUGUCUAACGAGAACCUGAGAAUACAAGCAGUUUUAAAAAUAUCAGCAUAAAGCUGGUGAGUUCAUAAGCGGUUUGUUUCUGGUGAAAGAAUAAGUUUUCCUUUGGUUUCAUGAAAAAGUUGCUAUCCAAGAAAAUCCUAUAUUUUCUUAUAAGAGUAGUUUAGUUAUCCAUCGGUUAAAUAGCCUGAUUAAGAAAAGUUAAGUUAUCCCAGGAAAAACCCUUAUUUUCCUUAAAAGUUGGUGGUUGGUUAUCGAUUCGGAAUGAAGUGUACAAGUAUCUACCAUACUUGUAGCGUUUAAGUGAAGUAUCGUGAAAGCCUGGUUAUCCUUGAAAAGUACAUUAGUUUUAACAUGUAUAUAAAACUAAUAAGUAGGUUAUAAACUAAUUUCCUAAGGGUAUUAAUUUACUAAGUUCUUUAUUACUUAAAAGUAAAUCUCCAUUAUCUAAGUUGGGAGUUCUAUAGCCAUACGAUAAACUAGAUAUGGAAAGAAGAAGGCCAGUAUCAUUUUAUGACUUUUGUCACCCAUAGACCUGCCGGUCCCACUGUAGCUAGCAGCAAGGUGCGGGGUAGUCAGCCCCGUAUACAUCUAUACACUCAAGCCACACUCUCUUUAUAAGAGAUUCUAGUUACAGGGGCGGUCCUCCACUCGCGUAUCCCUGUGGAGUGUUUCAGAGGAUGUGUCUCCAAUCUUAAGAAUAACGAAUUUACAAGUAAUAAAGCGGAAAAUCAUGUUUUAUGAAUGACAUGAAAUCCUUUGUGAAAUAUAAAAUAUAACAUUUUAUAAUGAGUCUCGCAAUUAGUUUGAAAACUAACUCUGCAAGUUAAACGGUUGAUUAAUACGGAUUUCAGUGUUAAAAGCAUACUGAACAUGUAACUAUAACAUACGAAAUAAUAAGUUUGGAGUACAAAUUUCCUUGUACUUUUGCUUGUAUUCCUCCCCUGAAAACAUGAAAAACACGGAAAAUGGUGUAGGGGUAUGAACUCACCAGACUAGAAAUGUGCCGGUUAGGAUGCUAAGUGUCAGUUUAAGGCUUGAACACGCGCGAGGUUCCUAUGUAUGUAACACCCAAGAUCAGGAAGGCCUAGAAAGGAAAGGAAACCCUAAGUUUAAGGGACGACUCGGCGAGUCCAAGGUGGAACUCUGCGAGUCCGAGCAGGAUUCGGGUCGAGGAGUAAGUGACCGACUCGGCGAGCUGGCCAAGGAGACUCAGCGAGUCUGGUCUGUACGAGGAAAACCCUAAAUUCGGGACAUGAAGCCUAUUUAAGCGCUUCAUUCUCUUCCCUAGGGUUCCUUUACUGCCUCUCUAACCCAGAAUACCAAAACCUAGACACCAUAUCCAUUGUUGAGCCAAUUAUUGCCUUGAAGAGUGCAUUAAAGCUUGGAGAAGGAAGAAGGAUCUUGAAGGUGCAAGAAGGGGGCUAUAGAUAUGGGAUUGGGAAGAUAUUUCUGAACAUUUGGAGGUAAUAAACUAGUUCUUGGACUCCUUUGCACCUAGAUCUAUGUGUGAGUUUUGGGGCUUUUGGCCAUGAUUGGUAUCCAUUUGAGUUAGAAGCCAGAUCUGUAGUUGCUACUUCGGAUCUCAGCAUAUUUUGGCCUUGUGAAGCAUAAAGU
rnacentral:lncRNA from 1 species